AACGAACGCUGGCGGCAUGCCUAACACAUGCAAGUCGAACGAGACCUUCGGGUCUAGUGGCGCACGGGUGCGUAACGCGUGGGAACCUUCCCUUAGGUUCGGAAUAACUCCCCGAAAGGGGUGCUAAUACCGGAUAAUGUCUUCGGACCAAAGAUUUAUCGCCUUUGGAUGGGCCCGCGUUGGAUUAGCUAGUUGGUAGGGUAAAAGCCUACCAAGGCGACGAUCCAUAGCUGGUCUGAGAGGAUGAUCAGCCACACUGGGACUGAGACACGGCCCAGACUCCUACGGGAGGCAGCAGUGGGGAAUAUUGGACAAUGGGCGAAAGCCUGAUCCAGCAAUGCCGCGUGAGUGAUGAAGGCCUUAGGGUUGUAAAGCUCUUUUACCCGGGAUGAUAAUGACGGUACCGGGAGAAUAAGCUCCGGCUAACUCCGUG
rnacentral:rRNA from 1 species